CCUGUACAUGUAUAUAUACCGGCCUAUGGCCUCAUGGGAAUACAAGUUGCUUAUUCCUAACAUGGUAUCAGAGCAAGGUUAAGGAUGACACGACAACCAGAAUCAGCAAGUUGACCAACGAAAAACAGAUUCAUGGUAAGUCGAGGAACAUGAGCAACAUCAGGAACAGAAUAAGGAGUGGUAAGAGUGCCUCUACUAACGACAGGAAGGGGAGUACCAUCAGCGGCGAGGACAUGAACAGGAGAAUCAAGCGAUCGAAGAGAGGACAUAGUGGAAGAAUUAGAAGUCAUAUGAAAGGAAGCUCCAGAGUCCAGAACCCAUGGGGAUGUACCUGACUGUGUAGAAGGUGGUUGCUCAAUGCAGGAAGCCUCAGUCACAGAACCAGCAGUACCCGUCGAGGAAGAACCUGAAGUAGCGAGCAGACGCUUAAGUCUCAGAAUAUCCUGCUCAGUCAAAGCGAUGGCUGAAGCUGCCGAGGUAGAUGACAAAGUCGCUGUAGAUGAUGAUCGCGCCUUGCGCAAGUGUUUCUUCUUCGUGUAGCAGUGGGACUCAAUAUGAC
rnacentral:lncRNA from 1 species